AUUGACCGCUGGCGGCAGGCCUAACACAUGCAAGUCGAACGAGUGGCGGACGGGUGAGUAAUGUCUGGGAAACUGCCUGAUGGCGGGGGAUAACUACUGGCAACGGUAGCUAAUACCGCAUACCCUCGGAUGUGCCCAGAUGGGAUUAGCUAGUAGGUGGGGUAACGGCUCACCUAGGCGACGAUCCCUAGCUGGUCUGAGAGGAGGACCAGCCACACUGGAAAGGAGAAACGGUCCAGACUCCUACGGGAGGCAGCAGUGGGGAAUAUUGCACAAGGGGCGCAAGCCUGAUGCAGCCAUGCCGCGUGUAUGAAGAAGGCCUUCGGGUUGUAAAGUACGUUCAGCGGGGAGGCGUUACCCGCAGAAGAAGCACCGGCUAACUCCGUGCCAGCAGCCGCGGUAAUAC
rnacentral:rRNA from 1 species